GCAUAACGCGAAGAACCUUACCCACCUUUGACAUGUACGGAAUCCUUUAGAGAUAGAGGAGUGCUCGAAAGAGAGCCGUAACACAGGUGCUGCAUGGCUGUCGUCAGCUCGUGUCGUGAGAUGUUGGGUUAAGUCCCGCAACGAGCGCAACCCUUGCCAUUAGUUGCUACAUUUAGUUGAGCACUCUAAUGGGGCUGCCGGUGACAAACCGGAGGAAGGUGGGGAUGACGUCAAGUCCUCAUGGCCCUUAUAGGUGGGGCUACACACGUCAUACAAUGGCUGGUACAAAGGGUUGCCAACCCGCGAGGGGGAGCUAAUCCCAUAAAGCCAGUCGUAGUCCGGAUCGCAGUCUGCAACUCGACUGCGUGAAGUCGGAAUCGCUAGUAAUCGUGGAUCAGAAUGUCACGGUGAAUACGUUCCCGGGUCUUGUACACACCG
rnacentral:rRNA from 1 species